rnacentral:lncRNA from 1 species
GACGCGGGAGCCCAGCUGGUUUCACCGAGUGGAUCCCGCACCGGGGCUGCAGGUGGAGCUGCCUGCCAGUCCCGCACCAUGCGGUCGCACUCCUCAGCCCUUGGUUGGUGGAUGGGACUGGACGCCGUGGAGCAGGGGGCGGCGCUCGUCGGGGAGGCUCAGGCUGCGCAGGAGCCCAUGGAGGCGGGGUAAGGCUCAGGCAUGGCAGGCUGCAGUCCCGAGGCCUGCCCUGCGGGAAGGCAGCUAAGGCCUGGCGAGAAAUUGAGCGCAGCGCCGGUGGGCUAGCACUGCUGGGGGACCCAGUACACCCUCCGCAGCCGCUGGCCCGGGUGCUAAGCCCCUCAUUGCCCGAGGCCAGCAGGGCCGGCCGGCUGCUCUGAGUGCGGCCCGCCAAGCCCACGCCCACCCGGAACUCCAGCUGGCCCGCAAGAGCCGCGCGCAGCCCCGGUUCCCUCUCGCGCCUCUCCCUCCACACCUCCCCGCAAGCUGAGGGAGUGGGCUCCGGCCUUGGCCAGCCCAGAAAGGGGCUCCCACCGUGCAGCGGUGGGCUGAAGGGCUCCUCAAGUGCCACCAAAAUAAGAGCCCAGGCAGAGGAGGCGCUGAGAGCGAGCGAGGGAUGUGAGGACUGCCAGCACGCUGUCACCUCUCAUUAGGAUGAAACUGGUUCCAGACGUGAGAGUUUUAUUCCAAUAUGGCUUCCAGGAUCCCAGAGGACUCGACUUGUAGAGAGCAUCACUGGAGUCAGAAGGGCCGAGGUCCAGGGGCCAAGAACACACCUUGGUGCCAGAAGAAGUUCAUAAGUCUUGAAAUGCAGCAUCUCCUGAGGUAGAAUCAUUGGGCAGAACUCAUGAUAACAGAGCCUUCAAGAUGCGGAGUGAGGACAGGUGUGGGGGCUCACGCCUGUAAUCCCAACACUUUGGGAGGCCAAGGCGGUUGGAUCACCUAAGGUCAGGAGUUCAAGACCAGCCUGGCCAACAUGGUGAAAUCCCGUUUUUACUAAAAAUACGAAGAAUUAGCUGGAUGUGGUGACGCCUGCCUGUAAUCCCAGCUACUUGGGAGGCUGAGGCAGGAAAAUCACUUGAACCUGGGAGGUAGAGGUUGCAGUGAGCUGAGAUUGCACCACUGCACUUCAGCCUGGGCAACAGAGUGAGACUCCGUCUCAAAAAAACAAAAACAAAAACAAAAGAUGGUGAGCGAGUAAGAGCAAUAAAAAUAUUUGAAUGUGUGACUCCUACACUUUUUAACUUAGAUUUUUGGAAAAAAAAUCCUUACACAUUUUCAUCGUAAAGAUUCUCCUACUUGAGAAUCUUGGCAGUUGAUAAACUCAAAGCCAUUUUUAUUCCUUCCUGUAACUUUCAAGCAUUAUCCAUAAAUGCUAUACAGCCCCCAUCUUGCCCCAUCCUUCCACCCUUUUCCCAUCCUUCAAGCAGUUCUUGAAAAGCAGUUCUUGAAAUGACCCCAAAUAUGCCUGUUGCUUCCUGCUGAUGGUACUUAACCCUGACCAGAAAUGGAUUUAGUUAAGAUGUAUUUUUAAUGGUAGCAACAUGGCUAUAUAUAUUCACAUAUUCAUUUAUAUUUUAAGAGAUAAGGUCCU